CUGAGGACUGCCUAUUCCAGCAUCGCCAACUAAGGACACCUUGUGUUCAGAUCUCGCUCUGCUGCCCCUGCCACCUAGAGGUCCUCCUCGCUCAUCGCCGAUGCCUGGCUGGGGGACAAUCUUCCUAAGACGCUCCAUUUCAUUCAUGUUGUAAUGCAAACCUCUCCACUCAACUGUUUCUGCUCCUAUUUAAACAGUUUGCACAUCUCCUCUGUUCUUAUCAUAGCAACCAGAAGCUGUUGCAGUUCCCUGUUUCUGCUUAAUUUUGAAAUGCAGUUGAUGUCAAA
rnacentral:lncRNA from 1 species